rnacentral:rRNA from 1 species
GAGGGMAAGYCUGGUGCCAGCAGCCGCGGUAAUUCCAGCUCCAGUAGCGUAUAUUAAAGUUGUUGCAGUUAAAAAGCUCGUAGUUGGAUUUGUGGUGUCUUGUUUUUUUGCUUCUACGGUCUUUUUUUUUGUUUUAAACAUUGAAUUAAGACUUGGAAGCGAGGACACCAUCCUUGACAGGUUUGAAAGUGAUAUUAUAUCACCGCAAACAUUGUCAUCCUUUACUUUGAAAAAAUUGGAGUGAUUCAAGCAGGCAAGAAUUAUAAUUUUAAUUUAACUUUGCUUCUGCACAUGUUAGCAUGGAAUAAUGCAAGAGGACUUGGGUUUUCUCUUUCAUUGGUUUCAGGAAUCCGAGUAAUGAUUGAUAGGGACAGUUGGGGGUGCUCGUACUCGACGGCCAGAGGUGAAAUUCUUGGAUUCGUUGAAGACGAACAACUGCGAAAGCAUUCACCAAGGAUGUCUUCUUUAAUCAAGAACGAAAGUUGGGGGAUCGAAGAUGAUCAGAUACCGUCGUAGUCCCAACCAUAAACGAUGCCGACCAGGGAUCAGCGAGCGUUGACUUGGCGUUCUCCACUUUUUUAUUUAUAAAAUCGUGUAGAUUUUGCCAACCUCAUUAAUUUGAAACGACCUCGUUGGCACCUUGCGAGAAAUCACCAGUCUUUGGGCUCCGGGGGGAGUAUGGUCGCAAGGCUGAAACUUAAAGGAAUUGACGGAAGGGCACAACCAGCAGUGGAGCCUGCGGCUUAAAUUGACUCAACACGGGGAAACUUACCAGGUCCAGACAUCAUAAGGAUUGACAGAUUGAAGAUCUUUCUUGAUUUGAUGGUUGGUGGUGCAUGGCCGUUCUUAGUUGGUGGAGUGAUUUGUCUGGUUAAUUCCGUUAACGAACGAGACCUCAACCUGCCAAAUAGGUUGUUCCCUUGCUGUUCUUUAUGGCGAGGGUGGUUGCGGUGUUUGGUUUUUCUCUUUUUUUUGGUUAAAUCGGAUCCCAACUAUGACUAGGUGAUUACUCAUUUAUGAUCAUACAACACUUCUUGGAGGGACUAUCAGUUCGCAUCUGAUGGAGGUUUGAGGCAAUAACAGGUCUGCGAUGCCCUUCGAUGUCCUGGGCUGCACGCGCGCUACACUGAUACAUGCAUCAAGCAGUUCAAUCAUACUGGACAUAAUUUUUAUGUUUAGUGACACCUUUGCUGAUAGGCAUGGGGAAUCUUUGAACUUGUAUCGUGAUGGGGAUAGAUGAUUGCAAUUAUUCAUCUUCAACGAGGAAUUCCUAGUAAACGCGGCUCAUCAAGCCGCAUUGAAUACGUCCCUGCCCUUUGUACACACCGCCCGUCGCUGCUACCGAUUGAAUGGUUCAGCAAGUUCCACAGACUGGCUCCUUUUUAUUGGGGAAACCCGUGAUUGAUGAGCCGGGAAGUGGCGCAAACUUGACCAUUUAGAGGAAGCAAAAGUCGUAACAAGG